UUCCCACAUGAAGACAGCCAGCCACUUUGCUUCGGACAUCUUAAGCCAGGUGAUCCCCGAUAGCGCCGAGAGGAAUUCGGCAGUUUCAACUUCAAAUGAUGAUGUGAACGGGAUGUCAUUAUCUCCCCAAUGAUGUCUGAUAUCUUUACAAACCUCCCCUGGAUUCAGCUGGACACCAAUUUUGCCCUGACAUGUUCCCCCUCUCUGAUGAACCCCUUCCUCCAGCAAGAUCCAAUAUUGCAUUGAUCCUAAGAGCACCCCUUCAUAAAUAUACUGCAUGUGAGUCUCCCUCUCAGAAUCUGCUUCUCGGGGAUACUGUGACACAUUGUUGAUCCUUCCUUGGUGGACACAUAUUAAGUGUCCAUGGAAUAUGAAUAUCAUUCUGGAUACCUUCUGCUUGACUACCCAGAUCUGCUUGCCACUCACCUCUAUGCUGCUCUUCAGGAGGCAAACUCCCGUGGUUUCCCUUGUCCUCUGGUUGGGUUGACUAAUAGACAGGAGAUUAACAAGAGAAGAAAAAGUUGAGGGCAGCUUAUUUAUUCCCUGACUGCCUUUGUGCAAGUCAGACUCAUCUUGACUGUUUUUCAACUGAGCACCACUUCUCUUCUCAAGGAGGUCUUUCUCUAUUUCCUUCCUUCCUU